rnacentral:rRNA from 1 species
ACCUACGGCCAUACCACCCUGAAAGCGCCCGAUCUCGUCUGAUCUCGGAAGCUAAGCAGGGACGAGCUUGGUUAGCACCUGGAUGGGAGACCGCCUGGGAAUACCAGGUGUUGUAGGCU